GUGCUUGCUUCAACAGCACAUAUACUAAAAUUGGAAUGAUACAAAGAUGAUUGGCAUGGCCCUUGUGCAAAAAAGACAUGCAAAUUCACGAACCACUCCAUAUUUUU